UAGGAAUCUCCACAAUGGCGAAGCCUGAUGGAGCAACGCCGCGUGAGUGAGGAAGGCUUUCGGGUCGUAAAGCUCUGUUGCCAGGGAAGAAUAAGGAUCAUUUAACUGAUGAUCCGAUGACGGUACCUGAGAAGAAAGCCCCGGCUAACUACUGCCAGCAGCCGCGGUAAUACGUAGGGGGCAAGCGUUGUCCGGAAUUAUUGGGCGUAAAGCGCGCGCAGGCGGCUCUUUAAAGUCUGGUGUUUAAGUGCGGGGCUCAACCCCGUGACGCACUGGAAACUGGGGAGCUUGAGUGCAGAAGAGGAGAGCGGAAUUCCACGUGUAGCGGUGAAAUGCGUAGAGAUGUGGAGGAACACCAGUGGCGAAGGCGGCUCUCUGGACUGUAACUGACGCUGAGGCGCGAAAGCGUGGGGAGCAAACAGGAUUAGAUACCCUGGUAGUCCACGCCGUAAACGAUGAGUGCUAGGUGUUGGGGGUAUCAUGCCCUCGGUGCCGAAGUUAACACAUUAAGCACUCCGCCUGGGGAGUACGGUCGCAAGACUGAAACUCAAAGGAAUUGACGGGGUCAUAGCUG
rnacentral:rRNA from 1 species